rnacentral:rRNA from 1 species
AUGUGGAGGAUGAUCCGAAACGGGCUAGGUGUGGGCUCGGAACUUCUAAGGAGGAGGAUAAAAGCGGGUGUUUUCUGCACGGCUUGUGGAUGGGAGGAGACAAAUUAUCACAUGUUCUGGGGUUGUUGCCAUUCAGCAAGAUUCUGGAAGAUAAUGCAUUCAGAAUUGGGGGUACCGGUGGCGAUCCCACCGGAGACAGUUAGCUCUCAGAAUGUUUUAUCGAGAUGGCUACUUUCCUGGUUUGCAGAAGCUUCUGAUGAUGCGCGCGCUGUCCUGGUACAAGGAGCAUACGCGCUAUGGUUAGCAAGGAACAACGCUCGAGAUGGGCAGAGGAUAGAGGAAGCGGAUGCAAUCGCAAGGAGGGUCUUCAAUCUCAUGGGUGAGUGGCAGGCUAUCCACGGGAGAAAGGCUAAACCAGCAAAAUCUGUGAUAAAGGAGAAGUGGAAACCCCCGGAGGUAGGAUGGGUAAAGGUGAACGUAGAUGGUGCGACGAUGAAGGGAGGCGAAGGGGGAGGCACUGGAGUGAUUUUCCGGAAUCAUGAGGGCGCCUACAUGAGCGCAGCGUGUCACUUCAUCCCACUGUGCAACAACCCAGAAAGAAUGGAGCUCUUGGCGUGUAGAGAUGCUGCGGCCAUGGCGGCAGACCUGGACAUUCCAAAGCUAUACAUCGAAACGGAUUGCAGAGAGAUAGUGGGAAAGCUUCAGAGUAGAAACAGGGAUCUAUCAGUGCUGGGACCGAUCAUAGAGGAAGUGAAGCUGCUGCUCGCAUCGAGGGAGAGCUGGAAGGUGGCAUGGAUUAGGCGUGAGGCUAAUAAAGCAGCUCAUUUGGUAGCUAGGGAAGCUGUAGUAAGUAAAUUAGACUUUGUUUGGCGUCAUACGCCCCCAGACUUUAUUGCCUGUAGUGUC